GUAAGUACAUAAGAGCACACAGGUGGAUACCUUGGCACGACAGGCGAUGAAGGACGUAGCAGGCUGCGAAAAGCCUGGGGGAGCUGCCAACAAGCGAUGAUCCCAGGAUAUCCGAAUGGGGCAACCCACGUGGCGUCAUGGUCACGUACUCCGCGAUGAAUACAAUAGUCGCGGUAGAGCAUACCCGGUGAACUGAAACAUCUAAGUAGCCGGAGGAAAAGACAUCAACCGAGAUUCCCGUAGUAGUGGCGAGCGAACCGGGAAGAGCCUAAACCCCGCACGUGUAAGCGUAGCAGCGUUGCGUGAAGGGGGGUUGCACGGCGAUCAUUCGAGGGUGCUGCACCUCGAGGUCAGUAAGAAAUCCGAUCGAAAGACGAAGCCGGCUGGAAAGCCGCACCAAAGACGGUGAUAGUCCCGUAAUCGAAUUCGUUCGGACUGACUCGAUCGUUCGUAAGUAGGGCGGGGCACGAGAAACCCUGUCUGAAUCUGGGGGGACCAUCCUCCAAGGCUAAAUAUUCUGUCGUGACCGAUAGCGCAUAGUACCGUGAGGGAAAGGUGAAAAGAACCCCCGAAGGGGAGUGAAAUAGAACAUGAAACCGUGUGCUUACAAACCGUGAAAGGCCAAUGCGCAAGCAAGGCUGAUCGCGUGCCUAUUGAAGAAUGAACCUGCGAGUUACGUGGUACAGGCUUGGUUAAGGUGAUGAGCCGGAGCCGCAGCGAAAGCGAGUCUGAAUAGGGCAAUUCGUCUGUAUCAGUAGACCCGAAACCAAGCGAUCUAUCCAUGAGCAGGCUGAAGCAUGAUUAACCUCAUGUGGAGGGCCGAACCUGUUGUUGUUGAAAAAACAUUGGAUGACUUGUGGAUAGGGGUGAAAAGCCAAUCGAGCUUGGAGAUAGCUGGUUCUCCCCGAAAUAGUUUGAGGACUAGCGUUGCGUAUUAAACCUUGGGGGUAGAGCACUGACAGGGCUAGGGGCCUUACCGGGUUACCGAACCCCAUCAAACUCCGAAUACCAGGGCGUAUCGCGCAGCAGUCAGACGGUGGGGGAUAAGCUCCAUCGUCAAAAGGGAAACAGCCCAGAUCAUCAGCUAAGGUCCCUAAUCGAUGCUCAGUGGUAAAGGAAGUCGUUUCGCACAGACAACUAGGAGGUUGGCUUAGAAGCAGCCACCCUUGAAAGAGUGCGUAAUAGCUCACUAGUCGAGUGAGGCGGCGCCGAAAAUGUAACGGGGCUCAAGCAUCGAACCGAAGCUAUGGGAUUACGCAAGUAAUCGGUAGGGGAGCGUUGUCGCGUAGGCUGAAGCCAGACCGUGAGGACUGGUGGACGAACGACAAGUGCGAAUGCAGGUAUAAGUAGCGAGAAAUGCGGGUGAGAACCCCGCACGCCGGAAGUCUAAGGUUUCCUGAGCUACGUCAAUCGUCUCAGGGUGAGUCGGGUCCUAAGCCGAGGCUGAGAAGCGUAGGCGAUGGCCAAGCCGUUCAUAUUCGGCUACCACCGACGUCAGUUUAGACUUCCUCGAACAGCGGCCGGCCACGAGCGAUCGUGGUCGUUUGGUGUUCGUUGAAGUCUAUGAAGUGAAGGGAUGACGCAGGAGGAUAGGUCAGCACACUAUCGGAUGUGUGUCGAAGCAGGUAGGGGGUCAGAUAGGCAAAUCCGUCUGGCAACUCCGAGAUGCGAGUGCGAGGACCCUUGUGGUCCGAAGUGAUUGACUCCACGCUGCCAAGAAAAGUCUCUAGCAAUGACAUAGGUGCCCGUACCGUAAACCGACACAGGUAGACUGGCAGAGCAUGCUAAGGCGACGGGAGAACCCCUGUUAAGGAACUCGGCAAAUUAACCCCGUAACUUUGGGAGAAGGGGUGCCCCUUUUGGUCUAGUCUUCACGACGAAAGCUGAGGGGGGUCGCAGUGAAUAGGCCCAAGCGACUGUUUAACAAAAACACAGGUCUCUGCGAACGCGAAAGCGGACGUAUAGGGGCUGACUCCUGCCCGGUGCUGGAAGGUUAAAAGGAGAGGUUAGCGCAAGCGAAGCUUUGAAUUGAAGCCCCAGUAAACGGCGGCGGUAACUAUAACCGUCCUAAGGUAGCGAAAUUCCUUGUCGGGUAAGUUCCGACCUGCACGAAUGGAGU
rnacentral:rRNA from 1 species